UACAGAGGUCUCAAGCGUUGUUCGGAUUCAUUGGGCGUAAAGGGUGUGUAGGUGGCGCUGUAAGUCGGGUGUGAAAUUUCGGAGCUUAACUCCGAAACUGCAUUCGAUACUGCGGUGCUUGAGGACUGGAGAGGAGACUGGAAUUCAUGGUGUAGCAGUGAAAUGCGUAGAGAUCAUGAGGAAGACCAGUGGCGAAGGCGGGUCUCUGGACAGUUCCUGACACUGGGACACGAAGGCCAGGGGAGCAAACGGG
rnacentral:rRNA from 1 species